rnacentral:rRNA from 1 species
UACAGAGGGGGCAAGCGUUGUUCGGAUUCAUUGGGCGUAAAGGGUGCGUAGGCGGCGCGGUAAGUCGGGUGUGAAAUCUCGGGGCUUAACUCCGAAACUGCAUUCGAUACUGCCGUGCUUGAGGACUGGAGAGGAGACUGGAAUUUACGGUGUAGCGGUGAAAUGCGUAGAUAUCGUAAGGAAGACCAGUGGCGAAGGCGGGUCUCUGGACAGUUCCUGACGCUGAGGCACGAAGGCCAGGGGAGCAAACGGG